rnacentral:rRNA from 1 species
UACGUAGGGGGCAAGCGUUGUCCGGAUUUACUGGGCGUAAAGAGCGUGUAGGCGGCCAAACAGGUCCGUUGUGAAAACUGGAGGCUCAACCUCCAGACGUCGACGGAAACCGUGUGGCUAGAGUCCGGAAGAGGAGAGUGGAAUUCCGGGUGUAGCGGUGAAAUGCGUAGAGAUCCGGAGGAACACCAGUGGCGCAGGCGGCUUACUGGUCCGGUUCUGACGCUGAGG